rnacentral:rRNA from 1 species
UACGUAGGAUGCGAGCGUUAUCCGGAAUUACUGGGUGUAAAGGGAGCGCAGGCGCGACUGCAAGUUGGAUGUGAAAUGCCGCAGCUUAACUGCGGAGCUGCAUCCAAAACUGUAGUUCUUGAGUGGAGUAGAGGCAAGCGGAAUUCCGAGUGUAGCGGUGAAAUGCGUAGAUAUUCGGAGGAACACCAGUGGCGAAGGCGGCUUGCUGGGCUCUAACUGACGCUGAGGCUCGAAAGUGUGGGGAGCAAACAGG